CAGUCUGAACAGGAGCAAACUGAGACAACAUCAGAUGGAGGUUCAGGUGUGCUGCUGUACGUGGGUCUGACUCUGUACAUCUUCGUGCUCCUGUUCUCCGUGGCUGUGCUGAUACUCUGCAAGAAAAGAGCCUCUAAACCCAAAGAACAUCCUGAGGAAACAGAGUGUGCUAAUGUCACAGAGACCACACGGCUGUAUGAGGAGAUCAGAGAGGAUCAGAGCAGAUCUCCUUCAGUCCAAACCUUUGUUGUGUAUAGCGUAGCCACUGCCUCAGCAUCCCGUCCUCUGAGCAAAACUGAAGAUGAGUGGAG